GACAGAGGGGGCAAGCGUUGCUCGGAAUUACUGGGCGUAAAGGGUGCGUAGGUGGCCAGGUAAGUUCGGUGUGAAAGCUCGGAGCUUAACUCCGAAAUGGCAUUGAAUACUAUCCCGCUUGAGGGUUGGAGGGGAGACUGGAAUUCUCGGUGUAGCAGUGAAAUGCGUAGAUAUCGAGAGGAACACCAGUGGCGAAGGCGAGUCUCUGGACGACUCCUGACACUGAGGCACGAAAGCUGGGGGAGCAAACAGG
rnacentral:rRNA from 1 species